rnacentral:lncRNA from 1 species
UCCCCAAGAAAUGCAUCCAAUUUUACCAACUCAGAGGAAGGUAUUAAGGAUCCUAAUAUUUCUCAGGUGCCAAAUCCAGAUGGUGAGGAUGGAAGUUAUUUUCAAAAGCCCGAUCACGAAGUGCACAAGUGGAGGACACGGUGGCUUUGGGUUUCUGUCCGCGUCCUCUCCAGGAGGGUAAGGAUCGGCUCGAGUUGCAGAGCAGUGCGAGGCACCCCCAGGAACGGCCCCGAAGGUUCCCACUUAUCUGCAGCACUUCUGGAGGGUUCUCUGAGCCCAGAAGCCUACACAUGUUUGGCAAUCCCAGAUGCACAUUCUUCCUGUCACCAGUGGGGCUGUGAACUGGGUAAGAGGCCCACCUAAAAGAUGGAAUCGUUUCUUCCUUAGGGCCAGCUCUGGAGCAGGAGCUGGGAAGUGAGACAUUUAAUUCUGUAAAAUAUAUGUUUCUUGAACUCUGACUUAUUGGAUACUGGGAGCAUUGGAGACAUGCUCCAAUGAGUGAGAAGGGGUUUCUGCCUUUGCCUUGUUUGAGAGGGAGACUGACACAUGAAUAAACAGCGACCAGUAAGACA